UACGGAGGGUGCAAACGUUGCUCGGAAUCAUUGGGCGUAAAGCGCACGUAGGCGGCUCGUUAAGUCGGAUGUGAAAGCCCCCGGCUCAACUGGGGAGGGUCAUUCGAUACUGAUCGACUCGAAGGCAGGAGAGGGUAGUGGAAUUCCCGGUGUAGUGGUGAAAUGCGUAGAUAUCGGGAGGAACACCAGUGGCGAAGGCGACUACCUGGCCUGUUCUUGACGCUGAGGCGCGAAAGCUAGGGGAGCAAACGGG
rnacentral:rRNA from 1 species